CUUAUCAACAUAUUCAGCUCCAUUUUUAUUUAAGUAGCUAUGUACACCUAAUGGCCCUGAAUCUGUAUGUAUACUGAGAUGCAAAUCUGCUUGGGCUGUUGUUGCAUAGGCAAGGGGACUACACAGAAUUUCAGAGUAGAUAGGACAGAUUUUUUUGGGGAAGGAGAGAGAAAUGUGGCGCUAGUUCUUUUGCACAGUCAUUAAAUUGACUUGUGAGAUAGGACUCCCUAUCUUUUUCCUACUGCUACCUUUCGUUCAGUUCUCAGGUUGCUCGAAUGAAAACAAUGCAAGAAAUAUGAAAUCCAAUCUACCUUUCCUUCUUCUGAUAUAUUUCUUUAGACUUUUUCCUGACAGGGCUCAAGGCAGCUUACAUAUAAAAAGGAGAACUGUUAAAAACAUAGAAAAUGCCAUUGUUGAACCACUCCCCAAACUGGGACACAAUAACUUAUAUUAAAUGUAUUUAUUUGUAUUUGUUUUAUGACAAAAAGAAAAGGACUAGCAUAUGAUGAAGGCUUGAAAUAUGUAUGCUGUUUGUGGCUGAAUGAAAAAUGGAAUUGUCAAUGUGUUUCAGCAGGGGUGCACUCCUUAAUCCACACCAAAUUUAAGUCUAAAUCUGAGAUAUUGGAGGAAAAGCCUGUCCAGCACUUUCACUGAUUAAAAAGCUCAUGAUAACAGAUGC